CCUACGGGAGGCAGCAGUAGGGAAUUUUCCACAAUGGACGAAAGUCUGAUGGAGCAAUGCCGCGUGCAGGAUGAAGGUCUUCGGAUUGUAAACUGCUUUUAUAGUUGAAGAUUAUGACGGUAAGCUAUGAAUAAGGACCGGCUAACUACGUGCCAGCAGCCGCGGUAAU
rnacentral:rRNA from 1 species